CGGAGAUUGGGGUUGGCGUCUCGCCAAACUCGGCACGCCCGCAUGCCGCACCUCGGAUGGGGACCGGUGCUCCGCUCCCACAUUUGACCUCGCCGCGCCGAUCUGUGAUCGCUUUUCCAUGGACGAGCAAAGAGGAAUUUGCUCCAUGGAACUCAUUCCGCAUAGCACGAUCUCUCACCCAUCCGGAUGAUUG
rnacentral:sRNA from 9 species